rnacentral:lncRNA from 1 species
UAACACCAAAAUCAGCCUGCAGCCAUCGCUCCCUCACCCAUCUUCCUCGCUGUCAUAGACGAGAAAAGCACACACAAAAUAAAGAUUGUGAUUUUUUGUUCGUCAAAGAUCAAUUCGAAUCUGGACUGUUGUUUUGCUCGGCUAAAUUGCUUGUUUUUGUUUCAGAGUCGAUUAUUCUGGCCCAAAUAGAAAGAGUCACUAGAGGUUCGAAGGUUCCAUGUUCGUCAAAGUUCGAUUCGAAUCUGGACUGUUGUUUUUCUCGGUUAAAUUGCUUAUUUUUGUUUCGAAGUCGAUUAUUCUGGCCUAAAUAGAAAGAGUCACUAGAAGUUUGAAGGUUCCAUCUUGGUUUUCGG